CCAAACGCCGGGAGCAGCGAGGGGCAGAGCCCAAAAGCCAUCCCUGAGGCGCCGCGCCUGCCCUGCGGCGGAGUUGCCCCUGUAGUCCGGUUUUCAUAGAAAUGCAAAUCGCCCCGCUGCAGCCUUUCUCCCCGCCAGGGAAGAGGGGUGCAGGGGGCCCCGUCCGCCUCGAGUGGGUCCCCCGGGAUUUAGGGGGUGAGGUGGAGGUGGCUCUGCAGUAGGGGACAACUAGGAAGGCCGGCAGGCCACACGCAGCCUGGGGAGACCACGAGAAGGGGUGACUGGGGCGCGGCGACACCCCAUAUCCAAGCCGGCAGAAUGGGCGCAUUUCCAAGAACGCCACGAGGGCACCCACGGGCGGACAGACGGCCAAAGAAUCUCAGCGACUGCAUCUUCUUUCAUUUUCAUUAACACGUGUAAAUUGCAAGAACUAAUUUAGCAUGCAAGGACGGGGAGGACCGGGCACACAACCCCUGUGCAAGUUUCAUUCCGGCGCACAGGGGCGUCGUUGCAAAUGCCCAAGGGGGUAACCCUAAAAGUUAAAGGGAUUUCAGCUUAGCAUGCGCUCGCUCAAAAAAUAAAAUAAAAUAAAUGCCCGAAAAUUCCAGCAGCAGCCCAAGAUGGUGGCCAGCAUUUCCUUCAUCUUGUCCUUCUAGCCUGGAGACUCUUCGGGCUGCCUUCCUACCUUGACCAGUCGGUCCUUGCGGGGGUCCCCAACUGCACCCCCUCCCUUCCCGUGCCGGCAAUUUAACCGGGAGAAACACACCUCUGAAUGGAAAGCUGAGAAACAGUGAUCUCCAUUCUGACUCAUUUUUUUUAAUUAAAAAAGAAAUUAAAUUGCUGGAAAUAUUAGUCCCCUCUGCCUGGGACAAGACCACCGAAGGUUCCUAAUUGGUUUUGUUGGGGGUGUAGACGUCCCUUCACCUUUAGAAUUUGCCCUGGGACUGAAUUCGUGAGCGUGAGGGGGCUGGCAGGAGCCGGCAUAAUUCAGAACAAUUAUCAAUUAAACAAACGAGUGUACUGAUCUGAUUUUUAGCAAAAUCGAUAGGUGUUCGUGGUUACAUGAGAGGGUCCCCAAUAUUAUCGCAAACUUAAGCAGAUGUAAAUUAAAAUACACAGUUUUUAAAAUUACAGGUUCUGUCUCUUUGGUGCAUUAAAAAAUAAAAGGAC
rnacentral:lncRNA from 1 species